GGGGAAAAGAAACCCUAUUUCGCUUGCAUUCUAUUAUACGUUCUAUUCUUUUCAAAACAUUGUUAUUUUCGUGAUCUGUGAGGAUGACCGGCAAAGGAGAGGGACCAGCGAUCGGAAUCGAUCUGGGUACUACUUACUCUUGCGUGGGUGUUUGGCAACAUGAUAGAGUGGAGAUCAUAGCUAAUGAUCAAGGCAACAGAACGACGCCGUCUUAUGUUGCCUUUACCGAUUCCGAGCGCUUGAUCGGCGAUGCUGCCAAGAACCAGGUCGCGAUGAACCCCAUCAACACCGUCUUUGAUGCAAAGCGGUUGAUUGGUAGGAGAUUUAGCGAUGCCACGGUUCAGAGUGACGCCAAACUCUGGCCGUUCAAGGUUAUUUCUGGACCUGGUGAUAAGCCUAUGAUUGUUGUCACCUACAAGGGUGAGGAAAAGCAGUUUGCUGCUGAGGAAAUCUCUUCCAUGGUCCUUAUUAAAAUGCGUGAGAUUGCUGAGGCUUACCUUGGCAACACUGUGAAGAAUGCCGUGGUCACUGUCCCUGCCUACUUCAAUGAUUCUCAGAGGCAGGCCACAAAGGAUGCUGGUGUCAUUGCAGGUCUCAACGUCAUGCGUAUCAUCAAUGAGCCCACUGCUGCUGCAAUUGCUUAUGGCCUUGAUAAAAAGGCAUCAAGUGUAGGUGAGAAGAAUGUCUUGAUUUUUGAUUUGGGUGGUGGCACUUUUGAUGUGUCAUUGCUCACAAUUGAAGAGGGUAUCUUCGAGGUCAAGGCUACAGCUGGAGACACCCAUCUCGGAGGUGAGGAUUUUGACAACAGAAUGGUGAACCACUUCGUUCAGGAAUUUAAGAGGAAGAACAAGAAAGACAUCAGUGGAAAUCCUAGAGCUCUUAGGAGGUUGAGGACAGCUUGUGAAAGGGCGAAGAGAACUCUCUCAUCUACUGCUCAGACAACCAUUGAGAUUGAUUCAUUGUAUGAGGGUAUUGAUUUCUACACAACUAUCACCCGUGCCAGAUUUGAGGAGCUUAAUAUGGAUCUUUUCAGGAAGUGUAUGGAGCCUGUUGAGAAGUGUUUGAGGGAUGCAAAGAUGGACAAGAGCGGCGUACAUGAUGUUGUUCUUGUUGGUGGUUCUACUAGAAUUCCUAAAGUGCAGCAAUUGUUGCAGGACUUAUUCAAUGGGAAGGAGCUUUGCAAAAGCAUAAACCCUGAUGAGGCUGUUGCUUAUGGGGCUGCUGUGCAGGCUGCAAUCUUAAGUGGUGAGGGUAAUGAGAAGGUGCAAGAUCUGCUGCUCUUGGACGUUACCCCUCUGUCUCUUGGACUGGAAACUGCUGGAGGAGUGAUGACUGUCCUGAUACCAAGGAACACCACCAUUCCGACCAAGAAAGAGCAGGUGUUCUCGACCUACUCUGAUAACCAGCCUGGGGUUUUGAUCCAGGUCUUCGAGGGUGAGAGAACAAGAACAAGGGACAACAAUUUGCUCGGAAAAUUUGAGUUAUCUGGCAUUCCUCCAGCUCCCAGGGGUGUUCCUCAGAUCACCGUUUGCUUUGAUAUUGAUGCUAACGGUAUCUUAAAUGUUACUGCUGAGGAUAAGACUACUGGCCAGAAGAACAAGAUUACAAUUACUAAUGAUAAGGGCAGGUUGUCUAAGGACGAGAUUGAGAAGUUGGUACAGGAGGCUGAGAAGUACAAGGCCGAGGAUGAGGAACAUAAAAAGAAAGUUGAGGCCAAGAACGCUUUGGAGAACUAUGCCUACAACAUGAGGAACACCGUGAGAGAUGAAAAAAUCAGUUCCAAACUGGCCCCAGAUGACAAAAAGAAGAUCGAGGAUGUUAUUGAACAGGCUAUCCAGUGGUUGGAUGCUAACCAGCUUGCUGAGGCAGACGAAUUUGAGGACAAGAUGAAGGAACUAGAGAGCAUCUGCAACCCUAUUAUCGCCAAGAUGUACCAGGGUGGUGCUGGUCCUGACAUGGGUGGCGGCAUGGAUGAGGAUGUCCCAUCAGCUGGUGGCAGUGGUGCUGGCCCUAAAAUUGAAGAAGUUGACUAGGCUGCAGUUUGAGCGAGAAUAGCUGGUGGGGAAUGUUUCAGGAUGUUGCAUACUUGCAUCCACAUUCUGUUGUAGUUUGGGUGUGUACUAGUUUUCCUGUGCCUAAAACUUAGAAGUGGAAGACGGUUCUGUUUGUUGAACUGUUAUUCUGCACAUCUCCUGUGAGAUGUGAAGUUCCUAUUUCACCUUAUGUUAUUGUACAAUACUUUUUUUUUAAUGACGCAUUAUGGCAUCAAGUGUUCAUCUAAAUGCUCAUAUUUUGUGAUGAGAUAGCAGCUAAUAUUCUUCGUGAUUGAUUAUCAAUAUGACAGCAGAAAAGCUGGCUUUGAGGUCCACCCAAAGUGCCGGGAUGUCUAAUUCGAAAAGGUAUUUUAAUUGUUGAUUUGUGGCCUAGAAGAAGGGAUAAAUUUAAAUUCAUUAUUUAGAAUUAUAUAUUUUUAAAAAUUUAAUUUAAAAUGAAAAAAGAGAAUUUAUAUAAUUAAUUUUAAUAAAAAUUUAAUUAAAUUGAGUUUAAUAUUAGGAAAGGGAGG
rnacentral:misc_RNA from 1 species